CAGCCGCCGCGGUAAUACAGAGGAUGCAAGCGUUAUCCGGAAUGAUUGGGCAUAAAGUGUCUGUAGGUGGCUUUUCAAGUCCGCCGUCAAAUCCCAGGGCUCAACCUUGGACAGGCGGUGGAAACUACCAAGCUGGAGGACGGUAGGGGCAGAGGGAAUUUCCGGUGGAGCGAUGAAAUGCGUUGAGAUCGGAAAGAACACCAACAGCGAAAGCACUCUGUUGGGCCGACACUGACACUGAGAGACGAAAGUUAGGGGAGCAAAUGGGAUUAGAUACCCCCGUAGUCCCUGUCUCUUAUAA
rnacentral:rRNA from 1 species